UGAUCUGACGAGCUUGCUCUGAUUUGAUUUUAUCUGACAAAGAGUGGCGAACGGGUGAGUAACACGUGGGUAACCUACCUCUUAGCAGGGGAUAACAUUUGGAAACAAGUGCUAAUACCGUAUAAUACCAACAACCGCAUGGUUGUUGGUUGAAAGAUGGUUCUGCUAUCACUAAGAGAUGGACCCGCGGUGCAUUAGCUAGUUGGUAAGGUAACGGCUUACCAAGGCAAUGAUGCAUAGCCGAGUUGAGAGACUGAUCGGCCACAAUGGGACUGAGACACGGCCCAUACUCCUACGGGAGGCAGCAGUAGGGAAUCUUCCACAAUGGGCGCAAGCCUGAUGGAGCAACGCCGCGUGUGUGAUGAAGGGUUUCGGCUCGUAAAACACUGUUAUAAGAGAAGAACGGCACUGAGAGUAACUGUUCAGUGUGUGACGGUAUCUUACCAGAAAGGAACGGCUAAAUACGUGCCAGCAGCCGCGGUAAUACGUAUGUUCCAAGCGUUAUCCGGAUUUAUUGGGCGUAAAGCGAGCGCAGACGGUUAUUUAAGUCUGAAGUGAAAGCCCUCAGCUCAACUGAGGAAUGGCUUUGGAAACUGGAUGACUUGAGUGCAGUAGAGGAAAGUGGAACUCCAUGUGUAGCGGUGAAAUGCGUAGAUAUAUGGAAGAACACCAGUGGCGAAGGCGGCUUUCUGGACUGUAACUGACGUUGAGGCUCGAAAGUGUG
rnacentral:rRNA from 1 species